UACGUAGGGGGCAAGCGUUAUCCGGAUUUACUGGGUGUAAAGGGAGCGUAGACGGUGAUGCAAGUCAGAAGUGAAAGCCCGGGGCUCAACUCCGGGACUGCUUUUGAAACUGUGUGACUGGAGUGCAGGAGAGGUAAGCGGAAUUCCUGGUGUAGCGGUGAAAUGCGUAGAUAUCAGGAGGAACACCAGUGGCGAAGGCGGCUUACCAGACUGAGUCUGACGCUGAUGCACGAGAGCAUGGGUAGCGAACAGG
rnacentral:rRNA from 1 species